UACGUAGGGUGCAAGCGUUAAUCGGAAUUACUGGGCGUAAAGCGUGCGCAGGCGGUUUUUCAAGACAGAUGUGAAAUCCCCGGGCUCAACCUGGGAAUUGCGAUGGAGACUGCAAGGCUUGAAUCUGGCAGAGGGGGGUAGAAUUCCACGUGUAGCAGUGAAAUGCGUAGAGAUGUGGAGGAACACCGAUGGCGAAGGCAGCCCCCUGGGUCAAGAUUGACGCUCAUGCACGAAAGCGUGGGGAGCAAACAGG
rnacentral:rRNA from 1 species